UAGUGAUUAUUGACAUUAGUGGUGACUCCAGUCAAAACGACCAAGGACUUCCUGAAUAUGAUUUUUGCGGCACGCGUGUUAUCUCUUUUGUCUUUGGCAUAAGCUUGUCGGCUCUCUCAGAAAUAGAUUCAUUCAAAUGUUUCUU
ensembl:ncRNA F31F7.4 ncRNA